AUAGGACACUGAAUUUGUCUGCACUAGAAUGGUGACUGAUAUCAAACUGGAGAAAGGCUGGUGUUACGUCUCUUGCUCAAGGUGCACAAAGAAUCUCCAACGGACGGUGUCAUCCUUGCGUGACCUGCAGUUAGGGAUGUUAAGUCAUGGGUUAGAGCCCAACCCUCUCUAGUGUAAUAUAAGCUCAGCCCUAUUUUAACCCAGUCCUAUUUUAACCCUUCUUUGAUUAUAGGGUUAGGGUUGGUAGUAAGGUUAGCCCAAUUAAUUUUUAUGCAAUGUAAUAAUGUUUUGUAUAUCAAAUUUAAUCAAAGUUUGCAUGUUUUUAAAAACUUAAAAUAUGAUUAUAUAAAUGAAAAAAAGUCCUCAAAUUCAAAGUAUGAAAUUAGGAAAACCAAAGUUUACAUGUUUUUAUUCAUGAAGUGUAAAAAUCAAAGUUCCAACUUAACUUUAUAAAGUGUAAAAAUCAAAAACAAGAGAGAUGGCAGUCACUAGAAGUUCUAGUCUAGAACAAACAUGAGACAACUAAAGAUCGAUUUCAACAAACGAAAAGAACAUCCAAAAAAAAAGAUGAAACAAAUGUCAUGAGCUAAAGCAGUCACAAACUGAUAAACAAGCAUGUGAACUACAAGAGUAUGCAGUCUGCAAAAGAUCCUCAGUUCUUUAACUUACACGUAUGAUACAAAGAAAGAAAGGUACUAAACACAAUCAUUACAUGGCUAAUAAGAACAAACCCACAAAUCAUUACUUGGCACAAGUUUCAACGUUUACUCUCUGACUAAAUCCGACUAUGAAGGCAAUCAGAUACCUAAAGAAGAAUAAAACCAGUGAUCAGACACAAUUCAUAAAAGCUUUUUUUGUCCAAAACAAAGCUAAACAACUAAAACUCAAGUUACAGAAGUUACCAAAUGCUUGAUAUAACAGAGAAGCAAACCACAAAGAUAAUGAGCUAUAAGAGAACACAUUCAAGUUGCUAAAACAGAGUAUUUACAGUCAAUCAGGGAAAAAGCUUUGCAAUCACAAGUUCAAUCAAAGUUACAGACUGUUUCAAACAAGUGAUUAGUUGACUAACAGAAAGUUCACAAAGAGCUAAAACGUUCUUUCCAAAAAAGAGACAAUCUCAAUUCUACAACAAUCCAUCAGUUCAAAAAGCUUUAUCAUCUCGCCAUUAGCUUAAAAGAAUCACAGUAUCACAAGACAGCAAGAUACAGUUUACUAGUAGUCUAGUAUCAUAAAGAUCAUAACAUCAGUCUCAGAUUUUCAACAAACCCACAAACUCUAGAGAUCGAUUUCAACAAACCCAGAACAAAACUAGAAGAACGUACCUCACAUAAUGCUUAUUGGAGAAGACGGAUACAACCCCGACGACGCUCUUCGAAAUCGAUCUCUAGGGUUGGUGUGUUCGUUGAAAUCAAUCCAGGAGCAGCAGAACUUGAUGAGGACGUCGUGUUAUCGGAUUUGAAUUUGAGCAGCUUCGUUCAGAUUCUAGGGUUCACGUUGCGAUCCUCUUUGUUUCUCUCUUUUCUCGUUUCUGGAAAAAAGAGACGGCCUUGAAGAAAAAUCAAAACGACAUCGUGUUAAGUGUUUGUUUUCAUAAAAAAAAAACAUAACGGGCUUAGGGCUAACCCGCGUUUCAUUUUAACCGGCCCUAUUUUAACCCACACAAAACAAAACGGGUUUUGGGUUAAGAAAAUAGUUGCGGGCCGGGCUAACCCUAUUGGCAAAAGACCAUAUUAACAUCCCUACCUGCAGUAACACCACGCAUCAAACCAUUGCAGGAACAUCUCUAAGUGGUCGCCAUCAAGAAACCUUAGGCAUCAAAGUCUUCAAAGGUGGUCAAGAAGCCACGUAAGGAAUAAGUGAAGAUGAGGGUUGUGAUGCGGAUGGAGUACUUGCUGUUUCAAUAACGAUUGUGUGUUAACGUGAGUUUUCUUUUAAACUGUCCUCUUAUGGAGUUUGGUAUGUUUAAAAAAAAAAAUCUAUAUAACUAUAAUAAAAAUGUUUUUUUUGACUUUAUCAUCAUUUUCAAGACUUAUUAUAUUUAACCGUUUAUGUUUACCUGCUUAGCACAUAUUAUCUUACUCCUUUUUUGAAACAGUUUUUUUUAAAACACUCACAUAUUGUCUUUACUCAAAUUAGAAGUUUUCCAGCUGAAUUAUAAUAACAGUUAGACUUGAUGCAAAUGUCAUGACUACAUACAUGUAGAUUACGGUUAUGAUAAGAUAUAAG
rnacentral:lncRNA from 1 species